GGGGAAUAUUGCACAAUGGGGGAAACCCUGAUGCAGCGACGCCGCGUGAGUGAAGAAGUAUUUCGGUAUGUAAAGCUCUAUCAGCAGGGAAGAUAAUGACGGUACCUGACUAAGAAGCACCGGCUAAAUACGUGCCAGCAGCCGCGGUAAUACGUAUGGUGCAAGCGUUAUCCGGAUUUACUGGGUGUAAAGGGUGCGUAGGUGGCAAGGCAAGUCUGAAGUGAAAAUCCGGGGCUCAACCCCGGAACUGCUUUGGAAACUGUUUAGCUAGAGUACAGGAGAGGUAAGUGGAAUUCCUAGUGUAGCGGUGAAAUGCGUAGAUAUUAGGAGGAACACCAGUGGCGAAGGCGACUUACUGGACUGCUACUGACACUGAGGCACGAAAGCGUGGGGAGCAAAC
rnacentral:rRNA from 1 species